rnacentral:rRNA from 1 species
ACGAACGCUGGCGGCGUGCUUAACACCUGCAAGUCGAACGGAAAGGCCCUGCUUUUGUGGGGUGCUCGAGUGGCGAACGGGUGAGUAACACGUGAGUAACCUGCCCUUGACUUUGGGAUAACUUCAGGAAACUGGGGCUAAUACCGGAUAGGAGCUCCUGCUGCAUGGUGGGGGUUGGAAAGUUUCGGCGGUUGGGGAUGGACCCGCGGCUUAUCAGCUUGUUGGUGGGGUAGUGGCUUACCAAGGCUUUGACGGGUAGCCGGCCUGAGAGGGUGACCGGCCACAUUGGGACUGAGAUACGGCCCAGACUCCUACGGGAGGCAGCAGUGGGGAAUAUUGCACAAUGGGCGGAAGCCUGAUGCAGCAACGCCGCGUGCGGGAUGACGGCCUUCGGGUUGUAAACCGCUUUCGCCUGUGACGAAGCGUGAGUGACGGUAAUGGGUAAAGAAGCACCGGCUAACUACGUG